rnacentral:misc_RNA from 1 species
GAUGAAGAACGCAGCGAAAUGCGAUAAGUAAUGUGAAUUGCAGAAUUCAGUGAAUCAUCGAAUCUUUGAACGCACAUUGCGCCCCCUGGUAUUCCGGGGGGCAUGCCUGUUCGAGCGUCAUUUCACCACUCAAGCCUCGCUUGGUAUUGGGCAACGCGGUCCGCCGCGUGCCUCAAAUCGUCCGGCUGGGUCUUCUGUCCCCUAAGCGUUGUGGAAACUAUUCGCUAAAGGGUGUUCGGGAGGCUACGCCGUAAAACAACCCCAUUUCUAAGGUUGACCUCGGAUCAGGUAGGGAUACCCGCUGAACUUUAGCAUAUCAAUAAGCGGAGGA